rnacentral:rRNA from 1 species
GACGAACGCUGGCGGCGUGCUUAACACAUGCAAGUCGAACGAUGAACCCGGAGCUUGCUCCGGUGGAUUAGUGGCGAACGGGUGAGUAACACGUGAGUAACCUGCCCUUGACUCUGGGAUAACUGCGGGAAACUGUAGCUAAUACCGGAUACGACCCUCGGCGGCAUCGCCAGGGGGUGGAAAGAAUUUCGGUCAAGGAUGGACUCGCGGCCUAUCAGCUAGUUGGUGAGGUAACGGCUCACCAAGGCGACGGCGGGGCGCCGGCCGGAGAGGGGGACCGGCCACACCUGGACUGGGGAACGGCCCAGACUCCCACGGGAGGGAGCAGUGGGGAAUAUUGCACAAUGGGCGCAAGCCUGAUGCAGCAACGCCGCGUGAGGGAUAACGGCCUUCGGGUUGUAAACCUCUUUUAGUAGGGAAGAAGCGAAAGUGACGGUACCUGCAGAAAAAGCACCGGCUAACUACGUGCCAGCAGCCGCCGCGG